rnacentral:rRNA from 1 species
AUUGAACGCUGGCGGCAGGCCUAACACAUGCAAGUCGAACGGUAACAGGGAUCAGCUUGCUGAUUCGCUGACGAGUGGCGGACGGGUGAGUAAUGUCUGGGAAACUGCCUGAUGGAGGGGGAUAACUACUGGAAACGGUAGCUAAUACCGCAUAACGUCGCAAGACCAAAGAGGGGGACCUUCGGGCCUCUUGCCAUCGGAUGUGCCCAGAUGGGAUUAGCUAGUAGGUGGGGUAACGGCUCACCUAGGCGACGAUCCCUAGCUGGUCUGAGAGGAUGACCAGCCACACUGGAACUGAGACACGGUCCAGACUCCUACGGGAGGCAGCAGUGGGGAAUAUUGCACAAUGGGCGCAAGCCUGAUGCAGCCAUGCCGCGUGUAUGAAGAAGGCCUUCGGGUUGUAAAGUACUUUCAGCGGGGAGGAAGGGAGUAAAGUUAAUACCUUUGCUCAUUGACGUUACCCGAAGAAGAAGCACCGGCUAACUCCGUG